UUAAGCGACUAAGCGUACACGGUGGAUGCCCUGGCAGUCAGAGGCGAUGAAGGACGUGCUAAUCUGCGAUAAGCGUCGGUAAGGUGAUAUGAACCGUUAUAACCGGCGAUUUCCGAAUGGGGAAACCCAGUGUGUUUCGACACACUAUCAUUAACUGAAUCCAUAGGUUAAUGAGGCGAACCGGGGGAACUGAAACAUCUAAGUACCCCGAGGAAAAGAAAUCAACCGAGAUUCCCCCAGUAGCGGCGAGCGAACGGGGAGGAGCCCAGAGCCUGAAUCAGUGUGUGUGUUAGUGGAAGCGUCUGGAAAGGCGCGCGAUACAGGGUGACAGCCCCGUACACAAAAAUGCACAUGCUGUGAGCUCGAUGAGUAGGGCGGGACACGUGGUAUCCUGUCUGAAUAUGGGGGGACCAUCCUCCAAGGCUAAAUACUCCUGACUGACCGAUAGUGAACCAGUACCGUGAGGGAAAGGCGAAAAGAACCCCGGCGAGGGGAGUGAAAAAGAACCUGAAACCGUGUACGUACAAGCAGUGGGAGCACAGAGCAAUCUGUGUGACUGCGUACCUUUUGUAUAAUGGGUCAGCGACUUAUAUUCUGUAGCAAGGUUAACCGAAUAGGGGAGCCGAAGGGAAACCGAGUCUUAACUGGGCGUUAAGUUGCAGGGUAUAGACCCGAAACCCGGUGAUCUAGCCAUGGGCAGGUUGAAGGUUGGGUAACACUAACUGGAGGACCGAACCGACUAAUGUUGAAAAAUUAGCGGAUGACUUGUGGCUGGGGGUGAAAGGCCAAUCAAACCGGGAGAUAGCUGGUUCUCCCCGAAAGCUAUUUAGGUAGCGCCUCGUGAAUUCAUCUCCGGGGGUAGAGCACUGUUUCGGCAAGGGGGUCAUCCCGACUUACCAACCCGAUGCAAACUGCGAAUACCGGAGAAUGUUAUCACGGGAGACACACGGCGGGUGCUAACGUCCGUCGUGAAGAGGGAAACAACCCAGACCGCCAGCUAAGGUCCCAAAGUCAUGGUUAAGUGGGAAACGAUGUGGGAAGGCCCAGACAGCCAGGAUGUUGGCUUAGAAGCAGCCAUCAUUUAAAGAAAGCGUAAUAGCUCACUGGUCGAGUCGGCCUGCGCGGAAGAUGUAACGGGGCUAAACCAUGCACCGAAGCUGCGGCAGCGACGCUUAUGCGUUGUUGGGUAGGGGAGCGUUCUGUAAGCCUGUGAAGGUGUACUGUGAGGUAUGCUGGAGGUAUCAGAAGUGCGAAUGCUGACAUAAGUAACGAUAAAGCGGGUGAAAAGCCCGCUCGCCGGAAGACCAAGGGUUCCUGUCCAACGUUAAUCGGGGCAGGGUGAGUCGACCCCUAAGGCGAGGCCGAAAGGCGUAGUCGAUGGGAAACAGGUUAAUAUUCCUGUACUUGGUGUUACUGCGAAGGGGGGACGGAGAAGGCUAUGUUGGCCGGGCGACGGUUGUCCCGGUUUAAGCGUGUAGGCUGGUUUUCCAGGCAAAUCCGGAAAAUCAAGGCUGAGGCGUGAUGACGAGGCACUACGGUGCUGAAGCAACAAAUGCCCUGCUUCCAGGAAAAGCCUCUAAGCAUCAGGUAACAUCAAAUCGUACCCCAAACCGACACAGGUGGUCAGGUAGAGAAUACCAAGGCGCUUGAGAGAACUCGGGUGAAGGAACUAGGCAAAAUGGUGCCGUAACUUCGGGAGAAGGCACGCUGAUAUGUAGGUGAAGUGAUUUACUCAUGGAGCUGAAAUCAGUCGAAGAUACCAGCUGGCUGCAACUGUUUAUUAAAAACACAGCACUGUGCAAACACGAAAGUGGACGUAUACGGUGUGACGCCUGCCCGGUGCCGGAAGGUUAAUUGAUGGGGUCAGCGCAAGCGAAGCUCUUGAUCGAAGCCCCGGUAAACGGCGGCCGUAACUAUAACGGUCCUAAGGUAGCGAAAUUCCUUGUCGGGUAAGUUCCGACCUGCACGAAUGGCGUAAUGAUGGCCAGGCUGUCUCCACCCGAGACUCAGUGAAAUUGAACUCGCUGUGAAGAUGCAGUGUACCCGCGGCAAGACGGAAAGACCCCGUGAACCUUUACUAUAGCUUGACACUGAACAUUGAGCCUUGAUGUGUAGGAUAGGUGGGAGGCUUUGAAGUGUGGACGCCAGUCUGCAUGGAGCCGACCUUGAAAUACCACCCUUUAAUGUUUGAUGUUCUAACGUGGACCCGUAAUCCGGGUUGCGGACAGUGUCUGGUGGGUAGUUUGACUGGGGCGGUCUCCUCCUAAAGAGUAACGGAGGAGCACGAAGGUUGGCUAAUCCUGGUCGGACAUCAGGAGGUUAGUGCAAUGGCAUAAGCCAGCUUGACUGCGAGCGUGACGGCGCGAGCAGGUGCGAAAGCAGGUCAUAGUGAUCCGGUGGUUCUGAAUGGAAGGGCCAUCGCUCAACGGAUAAAAGGUACUCCGGGGAUAACAGGCUGAUACCGCCCAAGAGUUCAUAUCGACGGCGGUGUUUGGCACCUCGAUGUCGGCUCAUCACAUCCUGGGGCUGAAGUAGGUCCCAAGGGUAUGGCUGUUCGCCAUUUAAAGUGGUACGCGAGCUGGGUUUAGAACGUCGUGAGACAGUUCGGUCCCUAUCUGCCGUGGGCGCUGGAGAACUGAGGGGGGCUGCUCCUAGUACGAGAGGACCGGAGUGGACGCAUCACUGGUGUUCGGGUUGUCAUGCCAAUGGCACUGCCCGGUAGCUAAAUGCGGAAGAGAUAAGUGCUGAAAGCAUCUAAGCACGAAACUUGCCCCGAGAUGAGUUCUCCCUGACCCUUUAAGGGUCCUGAAGGAACGUUGAAGACGACGACGUUGAUAGGCCGGGUGUGUAAGCGCAGCGAUGCGUUGAGCUAACCGGUACUAAUGAACCGUGAGGCUUAACCUU
rnacentral:rRNA from 1 species